rnacentral:rRNA from 1 species
GACGAACGCUGGCGGCGUGCUUAACACAUGCAAGUCGAACGGAAAGGCCCUGCUCUUGUGGGGUGCUCGAGUGGCGAACGGGUGAGUAACACGUGAGUAACCUGCCCUUGACUUUGGGAUAACUUCAGGAAACUGGGGCUAAUACCGGAUAGGAGCUCCUGCUGCAUGGUGGGGGUUGGAAAGUUUCGGCGGUUGGGGAUGGACUCGCGGCUUAUCAGCUUGUUGGUGGGGUAGUGGCUUACCAAGGCUUUGACGGGUAGCCGGCCUGAGAGGGUGACCGGCCACAUUGGGACUGAGAUACGGCCCAGACUCCUACGGGAGGCAGCAGUGGGGAAUAUUGCACAAUGGGCGGAAGCCUGAUGCAGCAACGCCGCGUGCGGGAUGAAGGCCUUCGGGUUGUAAACCGCUUUCGCCUGUGACGAAGCGUGAGUGACGGUAAUGGGUAAAGAAGCACCGGCUAACUACGUG